GAUAUUUUGUUUUGGAAACCAGCGAUUUUGAAAGUCGCCAAAAGGUGUUCGACCCACCUAGAUAUCU
rnacentral:tRNA from 1 species